GUCUUUUUGAAUAUAAUAUAAAGUCUGAUCUGCCCAUUGAUUUUUUUAAAGGCCGCAGUAUUUUGACUGUGCAAAGGUAGCAUAAUAAUUAGUUUUUUAAUUGAAAGCUGGAAUGAAUGAUUUUAUGAAAAAAAUACUGUCUCUUUUUUAUUAUUUAGAAUUUUAUUUUUAAGUUAAAAAGCUUAAAUAUUUUUAAAAGACGAGAAGACCCUAUAGAGUUUAUAUAUAAAAAUAUAAUAUAAAUUUAUUUAAUUUUAUUUUUGUUAUAUAUAUAUAUUUUAUUGGGGUGAUAAAAAAGUUUAUUUAACCUUUUUACUAAAAAAACAAUUUUUAUUGAAUAUUUGAUCCUUUAAAAGAUUAAUAGAUUAAAUUACCUUAGGGAUAACAGCGUAAUUUUUUUGGAGAGUUCAUAUCUAUAAAAAAGUUUG
rnacentral:rRNA from 1 species